GACGAACGCUGGCGGCGUGCUUAACACAUGCAAGUCGAACGGAAAGGCCCUGCUUGCAGGGUACUCGAGUGGCGAACGGGUGAGUAACACGUGGGUGAUCUGCCCUGCACUUCGGGAUAAGCCUGGGAAACUGGGUCUAAUACCGGAUAGGAGCCAUUUUUAGUGUGAUGGUUGGAAAGUUUUUUCGGUGUAGGAUGAGCUCGCGGCCUAUCAGCUUGUUGGUGGGGUAAUGGCCUACCAAGGCGGCGACGGGUAGCCGGCCUGAGAGGGUGGACGGCCAAAUUGGGACUGAGAUACGGCCCAGACUCCUACGGGAGGCAGCAGUGGGGAAUAUUGCACAAUGGGCGCAAGCCUGAUGCAGCGACGCCGCGUGGGGGAUGGCGGCCUUCGGGUUGUAAACUCCUUUCGCUAGGGACGAAGCUUUUUGUGACGGUACCUAGAUAAGAAGCACCGGCUAACUACGUG
rnacentral:rRNA from 1 species